GGAGUAUCGAGAAUAUAGAAAUAACAACCACUGAAAAGAAAAACCAGGAACUCAUUUUUACCCAAAAUCGAUGAAGAAGUAAAAGGUGAGUGACCUGGCAAGUAAAUGGUUGAGUUGGUCAAACAAUGUGCCAAAGAAGAUUGACCCGAG
ensembl:ncRNA C45B11.10 ncRNA